UCCCGAAUAGCUCAGUCGGUAGAGCAGUUGACUGUUAAUCAAUUGGUCGCAGGUUCGAGUCCUGCUUCGGGAGCCA
rnacentral:tRNA from 1 species